rnacentral:rRNA from 1 species
CCCGCUGAACUUAAGCAUAUCAAUAAGCGGAGGAAAAGAAACUAACAAGGAUUCCCCUAGUAACUGCGAGUGAAGAGGGAAAAGCUCAAAUUUGAAAUCUGGCGGUCUUUGGCUGUCCGAGUUGUAAUUUAGAGAAGUGUUACCCGAGCUAUACCGUGUAUAAGUCUCCUGGAAUGGAGCGUCAUAGAGGGUGAGAAUCCCGUCUUUGACACGGAUAAUAGUUCAUUGUGGUGCGCUCUCAAAGAGUCGAGUUGUUUGGGAAUGCAGCUCUAAAUGGGUGGUAAAUUCCAUCUAAAGCUAAAUAUUGGGGAGAGACCGAUAGCGAACAAGUACCGUGAGGGAAAGAUGAAAAGAACUUUGGAAAGAGAGUUAAACAGUACGUGAAAUUGCUGAAAGGGAAACGCUUGAAGUCAGUCGCGUUAGCUGGGGAUCAGCCUUCCUUUUGGUUGGUGUACUUCCUAGUUGACGGGUCAGCAUCAGUUUUGACCAGUGGAUAAGAGUUUGAGGAAUGUGGCAUCUUCGGGUGUGUUAUAGUCUCUAGUCGCAUGCAAGGGUCGGGAUUGAGGAACUCAGCACGCGCCUUCGGGCGUCGGGGUUCGCCCACGAUACGUGCUUAGGAUGUUGGCGUAAUGGCUUUAAACGACCCGUCUUGAAACACGG